rnacentral:rRNA from 1 species
ACCUGACUGCUAUCGGAUUGAUACUAAGCCAUGCGAGUCAUUGUAGCAAUACAAGGCAUACGGCUCAGUAACGCGUAGUCAACCUAGCCUAUGGACGGGAAUAACCUCGGGAAACUGAGAAUAAUGCCCGAUAGAACACUAUACCUGGAAUGGUUUGUGUUCCAAAUGAUUUAUCGCCAUAGGAUGGGACUGCGGCCUAUCAGUUUGUUGGUGAGGUAAUGGCCCACCAAGACUAUUACAGGUACGGGCUCUGAGAGGAGUAGCCCGGAGAUGGGUACUGAGACACGGACCCAGGCCCUAUGGGGCGCAGCAGGCGAGAAAACUUUGCAAUGUGCGAAAGCACGACAAGGUUAAUCCGAGUGAUUUGUGCUAAACGAAUCUUUUGUUAGUCCUAGAAACACUAACGAAUAAGGGGUGGGCAAGUUCUGGUGUCAGCCGCCGCGGUAAAACCAGCACCUCAAGUGGUCAGGAUGAUUAUUGGGCCUAAAGCAUCCGUAGCCGGCUCUGUAAGUUUUCGGUUAAAUCUGUACGCUUAACGUACAGGCUGCCGGGAAUACUGCAAAGCUAGGGAGUGGGAGAGGUAGACGGUACUCGGUAGGAAGUGGUAAAAUGCUUUGAUCUAUCGAUGACCACCUGUGGCGAAGGCGGUCUACCAGAACACGUCCGACGGUGAGGGAUGAAAGCUGGGGGAGCAAACCGGAUUAGAUACCCGGGUAGUCCCAGCUGUAAACUAUGCAAACUCAGUGAUGCAUUGGCUUGUGGCCAAUGCAGUGCUGCAGGGAAGCCGUUAAGUUUGCCGCCUGGGAAGUACGUACGCAAGUAUGAAACUUAAAGGAAUUGGCGGGGGAGCACCACAAGGGGUGAAGCCUGCGGUUC